AAACAGGCUUAGAUACCCUGGUAGUCCACCCCGUAAACGUUGGGAACUAGUUGUGGGGUCCAUUCCACGGAUUCCGUGACGCAGCUAACGCAUUAAGUUCCCCGCCUGGGGAGUACGGCCGCAAGGCUAAAACUCAAAGGAAUUGACGGGGACCCGCACAAGCGGCGGAGCAUGCGGAUUAAUUCGAUGCAACGCGAAGAACCUUACCAAGGCUUGACAUAUACGAGAACGGGCCAGANAAUGGUCAACUCUUUGGACACUCGUAAACAGGUGGUGCAUGGUUGUCGUCAGCUCGUGUCGUGAGAUGUUGGGUUAAGUCCCGCAACGAGCAGCAACCCUCGUUCUAUGUUGCCACGCACGUAAUGGUGGGAACUCAUGGGAUACUGCCGGGGUCAACUCGGAGGAAGGUGGGGAUGACGUCAAAUCAUCAUGCCCCUUAUGUCUUGGGCUUCACGCAUGCUACAAUGGCCGGUACAAAGGGCUGCAAUACCGCGAGGUGGAGCGAAUCCCAAAAAGCCGGUCCCAGUUCGGAUUGAGGUCUGCAACUCGACCUCAUGAAGUCGGAGUCGCUAGUAAUCGCAGAUCAGCAACGCUGCGUAA
rnacentral:rRNA from 1 species